rnacentral:rRNA from 1 species
UACGUAGGGGGCAAGCGUUGUCCGGAUUUAUUGGGCGUAAAGAGCGUGUAGGCGGUUCGGUAGGUCCGUUGUGAAAGCUCGAGGCUCAACCUCGAGACGCCGAUGGAAACCAUCGAACUAGAGUCCGGAAGAGGAGAGUGGAAUUCCUGGUGUAGCGGUGAAAUGCGCAGAUAUCAGGAAGAACACCCGUGGCUAAGGCGGCUCUCUAGUACGGUACUGACGCUGAGACGCGAAAGCGUGGGGAGCGAACAGG